AGACGUCUACAUUAGAUACCCGCGUAGUCCCAGCCGUAAACUAUGCGCGUUAGGUGUAUCGGUGACCACGAGUCACCGAGGUGCCGAAGGGAAACCGUGAAACGUGCCGCCUGGGAAGUACGGUCGCAAGGCUGAAACUUAAAGGAAUUGGCGGGGAGCACCACAACGGGUGGAGCCUGCGGUUUAAUUGGACUCAACGCCGGGAAGCUCACCGGAUAAGGCAGCGGAAUGAUUGCCGGGCUGAAGACUCUGCAUGACUAGCUG
rnacentral:rRNA from 1 species